rnacentral:rRNA from 1 species
CGCAGCAGGCGCGAAAACUCUACAAUGCAGGCAACUGCGAUAGGGGAACAUCGAGUGAUCCUCAUAUUGGGGGUCUGUCCACCCGUCUAAAAAACGGGUGUUAGCAAGGGCCGGGCAAGACCGGUGCCAGCCGCCGCGGUAAUACCGGCGGCUCGAGUGGUGGCCGAUAUUAUUGAGUCUAAAGGGUCCGUAGCCGGCUUUGCAAGUCUCUCGGGAAAUCCAGCGGCUUAACCGUUGGUCGUCCGGGGGGUACUACAUUGCUUGGGACUGGGAGAGGUAGGAGGUACUCAGGGGGUAGGAGUGAAAUCCUGUAAUCCUUUGGGGACCACCGGUGGCGAAGGCGUCCUACCAGAACAGGUCCGACGGUGAGGGACGAAAGCUAGGGGCACGAACCGGAUUAGAUACCCGGGUAGUCCUAGCCGUAAACGAUGCUCGCUAGGUGUCACAACAGUCGUGAACUGUUGUGGUGCCGUAGGGAAGCCGUGAAGCGAGCCACUUGGGAAGUACGACCGCAAGGUUGAAACUUAAAGGAAUUGGCGGGGGAGCAC